rnacentral:tRNA from 5 species
GGGUCUGUAGCUCAGCCGGUUAGAGCACAGUGCUGAUAACGCUGGGGUCAGUGGUUCGAGUCCACUCAGACCCA